rnacentral:misc_RNA from 1 species
ACUACAGAACAGCACAAGCCAGUAAUGAUGAGAAAAAGCGCACGCCUGUGGCAGGGAAUUCAGCCUGAGCUUCAUCGCUAUUCUCACGCCACAUUUCAUGAAGGAACGCAUAGGCAGGCCCCUGGCGAUUCUACACCGUGGCGUGAUGUCUCUUCACCAGUCAACAGGUUCCGCGCGUGGUGGUUGGCGCCGGCGGCCAAAGGAAGUGUUAUCGCUGCCUGGUGCUUGACAUGUGUUAUCGGCGCAUAUUGCUUUAGCAUUCAGCAAGAUGCAAAGGGGACUUACCUUCUGAAUAAUGUUCUGCUUCGCAAUCUGCAUGAAGAGUCACAGAGAGCUAACGCCAACGAAGGGCGCGCGGGUGAGCUACAAGAGGCGAUGCGGCAGUAUCUUUCGGAGGAAAAGAGCCGCAAGCGAAGCGCCGCCAAGCUGGAGGAGUACGUGGCGUCUAGUGAAAAGAUGAAAGCCGGGAUUGUGAAUUACGAGUUAGAACUGGUACGAGAGCGAGGGAGAGCCGAUGCCGCACACGAGCGCAAUCAGCAGUUACUGAGGGAGCUGAUGUCUGUGCGAAGGGAAAUGGCGCAGGUUCAGAAGGACAACGCCACUUUGGUCAUGGAGGUAGAGAAAUUGCAGCGGCUACUGAAGCGUUUCGGUCAGCUAUGAGUAGAGAUUGAAGUGAAAAAUUGAUUAGUGACACUAUCUUACAUCCUACGCCACUUCGGCGGAUUCGCUGCUGCCGAAAAAAAAAACACGGAAAAAUGUUAGGGUACUUCCAGCAACGUACUGCUUUCCGAACUUUGGAGGCUGCAAAACGAACAAAAAAGACGAAAUGGGCGUCAAAUUCUUAACUUUACACGCUGAUGGUGUGCUGCAAUAAAUCGCAGUUUUUCUCUUUCAACCGCAACCGCUUAUUGGCUAAACCCUUUGAUCGAAGCUGCAAUUCAACCCUAGCCAUCUUGCUAUUAUUUUUGAUCCCCCACUCUCUUUCAAUAUUGCUACUCUGCUUCUGUUAUUUCCUUAG